GACGAACGCUGGCGGCGUGCCUAACACAUGCAAGUCGAACGGAAAGGCCCUGCUUUUGUGGGGUGCUCGAGUGGCGAACGGGUGUGUAACACGUGAGUAACCUGCCCUUGACUUUGGGAUAACUUCAGGAAACUGGGGCUAAUACCGGAUAGGAGCUCCUGAUGCAUGGUGGGGGUUGGAAAGUUUCGGCGGUUGGGGAUGGACUCGCGGCUUAUCAGCUUGUUGGUGGGGUAGUGGCUUACCAAGGCUUCGACGGGUAGCCGGCCUGAGAGGGUGACCGGCCACAUUGGGACUGAGGUACGGCCCAGACUGCUACGGGAGGCAGCAGUGGGGAAUAUUGCACAAUGGGCGGAAGCCUGAUGCAGCAACGCCGCGUGCGGGAUGACGGCCUUCGGGUUGUAAACCGCUUUCGCCUGUGACGAAGCGUGAGUGACGGUAAUGGGUAAAGAAGCACCGGCUAACUACGUG
rnacentral:rRNA from 1 species